rnacentral:rRNA from 1 species
UACGGAGGGUGCGAGCGUUGUCCGGAAUCACUGGGCGUAAAGGGCGCGUAGGCGGUGCGGUAAGCGUGUGGUGAAAGCUCGGGGCUCAACCCCGAGUCGGCCAUGCGAACUGUGCGGCUCGAGCCCACUAGAGGCAGGCGGAAUUCCGGGAGUAGCGGUGGAAUGCGUAGAGAUCCGGAAGAACACCGGUGGCGAAGGCGGCCUGCUGGGGUGGAGCUGACGCUGAGGCGCGACAGCGUGGGGAGCAAACAGG